rnacentral:rRNA from 1 species
GUAUCCUACGGGAGGCAGCAGUAGGGAAUCUUCCACAAUGGACGAAAGUCUGAUGGAGCAACGCCGCGUGAGUGAAGAAGGGUUUCGGCUCGUAAAGCUCUGUUGGUAGUGAAGAAAGAUAGAGGUAGUAACUGGCCUUUAUUUGACGGUAAUUACUUAGAAAGUCACGGCUAACUACGUGCCAGCAGCCGCGGUAAUACGUAGGUGGCAAGCAUUGUCCGGAUUUAUUGGGCGUAAAGCGAGUGCAGGCGGUUCAAUAAGUCUGAAGUGUAAGGCUUCGGCUCAACCGGGGAAUUGGAUUAGAA